AUAAGAGACAAGUCUAAAACUGAAUCUAAGUAUUUGACUUGAUAAUCUAUUAAAAAUCCAUUUGAACGAGAAUCUUUCAGCCUGCAAAUACAAAUUGUGUAGUUUCUAGAAAGUUAUAACUACAACUGAACCUUGUGAUGAUUCUUUAUUUGAAAAAUUAAAUUUUGUUUCCUCAGGCCAUGUCUUUGCAGUUGGUCUGUCAACUACGAAAUCUGAUUGCAGUGAAACUUCAGCCAAUCAGUUCAAGAAAAUGGCAAUUGACCGAUUUAACACAACUGUUAUCCUUUCACAUGUUUCUCCUGGACCUACCCCUGAUACUCAGGCUUACAUAAAGAGAUUGGAAGAUGAAAGACGU